rnacentral:rRNA from 1 species
AGUGAACGCUGGCGGUAGGCCUAACACAUGCAAGUCGAACGGCAGCACAGGAGAGCUUGCUCUCUGGGUGGCGAGUGGCGGACGGGUGAGGAAUACAUCGGAAUCUACUUUUUCGUGGGGGAUAACGUAGGGAAACUUACGCUAAUACCGCAUACGACCUACGGGUGAAAGCAGGGGAUCUUCGGACCUUGCGCGAUUGAAUGAGCCGAUGUCGGAUUAGCUAGUUGGCGGGGUAAAGGCCCACCAAGGCGACGAUCCGUAGCUGGUCUGAGAGGAUGAUCAGCCACACUGGAACUGAGACACGGUCCAGACUCCUACGGGAGGCAGCAGUGGGGAACAUUGGACAAUGGGCGCAAGCCUGAUUCAGCCAUACCGCGUGGGUGAAGAAGGCCUUCGGGUUGUAAAGCCCUUUUGUUGGGAAAGAAAUCCAGCUGGCUAAUACCCGGUUGGGAUGACGGUACCCAAAGAAUAAGCACCGGCUAACUUCGUGCCAGCAGCCGCCGUAA